rnacentral:rRNA from 1 species
GACGAACGCUGGCGGCGUGCCUAACACAUGCAAGUCGAACGGAACUCGGGACUUCGGUUCUGAGUUUAGUGGCGAACGGGUGAGUAACGCGUGAGGAACCUGCCUUUCAGUGGGGGACAACAGUUGGAAACGACUGCUAAUACCGCAUAAUGUGUUUUGGGGGCAUCCCCGAGACACCAAAGCUUUAUGUGCUGAAAGAUGGCCUCGCGUCUGAUUAGAUAGUUGGUGAGGUAACGGCUCACCAAGUCUGCGAUCAGUAGCCGGUCUGAGAGGAUGAACGGCCACAUUGGGACUGAGAUACGGCCCAGACUCCUACGGGAGGCAGCAGUGGGGAAUAUUGGGCAAUGGGGGAAACCCUGACCCAGCAACGCCGCGUGAAGGAAGAAGGCCUUCGGGUUGUAAACUUCUUUUAGCAGGGACGAAGAACGUGACGGUACCUGCAGAAAAAGCAACGGCUAACUACGUGCCAGCAGCCGCGGUAAAAC